rnacentral:rRNA from 1 species
CUACGUGCCAGCAGCCGCGGUAAUACGGAGGGUGCGAGCGUUAAUCGGAAUAACUGGGCGUAAAGGGCACGCAGGCGGUGACUUAAGUGAGGUGUGAAAGCCCCGGGCUUAACCUGGGAAUUGCAUUUCAUACUGGGUCGCUAGAGUACUUUAGGGAGGGGUAGAAUUCCACGUGUAGCGGUGAAAUGCGUAGAGAUGUGGAGGAAUACCGAAGGCGAAGGCAGCCCCUUGGGAAUGUACUGACGCUCAUGUGCGAAAGCGUGGGGAGCAAACAGGAUUAGAUACCCUGGUAGUCCACGCUGUAAACGCUGUCGAUUUGGGGAUUGGGCUUUAAGCUUGGUGCCCGUAGCUAACGUGAUAAAUCGACCGCCUGGGGAGUACGGCCGCAAGGUUAAAACUCAAAUGAAUUGACGGGGGCCCGCACAAGCGGUGGAGCAUGUGGUUUAAUUCGAUGCAACGCGAAGAACCUUACCUACUCUUGACAUCCAGAGAACAUUC